ACUUCCUAAGCCGGAACGAAAAGUAACUCUGUAGUGAUACAUUGAAGCUUUUGGCUUUGUAGUUGUGAUGUUGUGUUUGCAAGUUGUCUGGUAGACCAGACUUUGUAGCAUAUGCUACUGUUUUUUUUCACUUCCUGUACAUUUACCCUGUCUGUCCAUAGUGAUUUUUUUAAUGCACCGCAAUUGCGGUGCUUUUUUUC
rnacentral:other from 1 species